CCUUAAACUAUUGAGUGGCUUUGCACCUCCUUUCAGUGACUAUUUCCUUCAAAAAUGGAAGAGUUAAGAGCUUUUUCCUACCUUUUUAGUGUAAAGUCCUAACCCAGUAAGGCUUUUUAAUGUACUAAAUUAUUAAAAUAGACAUUGUGCGCUUUGGACAGAACAACGAAGAUAAAACACCCACAUCCAUAAUAAACUUAUAGCCUAAGUGAACCGCUUUGUUUCAACAAUGUCAAAGUGUAUUAUGGCUAAUGCUGCUGUAUCUUCAGUGCAGGAAUGAUUCAUACUUAACUUCAAUGACUCAUAAAAUACAUUCGAGUAAAUGAUUGGCAAUUUAAGUCACAGAGCAGAAGCAGGUCAGAUUAGAAAAGAAGACAGAGAGGGAUCGGAACAGUUUCUCGUAUCAGUGCAUAACUCGUAGACUACUACUGUAGUAGAUUUAUAUAUGUAUUAGUUUGGCAGGUUAAUGCAGGUAGUUUUGGUUGUUGGUUGUUUUCAGGCAGCUAACAAAAUGAAUAUUUCAUGCUGCACAGCUGUACUGAGGAAACACAUGUGGUAGGCGGGCGCAGAGAGAGAGUGUGUGUGUGUGUGUGUGUGUGUGUGUGGUGAUGUGAUCUACUGUGUGUUUGUCUAUAGUCUGUCAGUCGCGCUGUUUGCAGUGACCAACCAUCAGUGUAGCAUGAAACGAUGCCACACCACCUAAAACUCCGGAAUACCCUUCGUCAUCUACAUAUGAACACUACCCAGAAGAUCGUCUACCCUGACGGACGCUUAUACAGACCGAAAGGAGGGAGCCAAGAACACAUAAGAAGUUAUUUUGAAGACUGUGCUGUGCACUUGCAGUGAAUGGGGACUUAAGCUUUCAAGCUUCACAGUGAAUGGAAUAUAGUGUACUUUUAUGAUGCGUAUUCAGUGUAUUCUGAAGCCAAUUAUGAAAGUUUUUGUGAUCAACUGAAAACGAAGUCAUUAUUACUAGUUCAUUGAACUGGCGAAUUAACAACGAAGGCAUUAGAUGAGAUGCGUAAUAAAAUAAUCCUACUCACAAGAGCA
ensembl:lncRNA